AUUGAACGCUGGCGGCAGGCUUAACACAUGCAAGUCGAGCGGGCCCUUUCGGGGGUCAGCGGCGGACGGGUGAGUAACGCGUGGGAACGUGCCUUCUGGUUCGGAAUAACUCAGGGAAACUUGAGCUAAUACCGGAUACGCCCUUUUUGGGGAAAGGUUUACUGCCGGAAGAUCGGCCCGCGUCUGAUUAGCUAGUUGGUGGGGUAACGGCCUACCAAGGCGACGAUCAGUAGCUGGUCUGAGAGGAUGAUCAGCCACACUGGGACUGAGACACGGCCCAGACUCCUACGGGAGGCAGCAGUGGGGAAUAUUGGACAAUGGGCGCAAGCCUGAUCCAGCCAUGCCGCGCGAGUGAAGAAGGUCUUCGGAUUGUAAAGCUCUUUUGCCAGGGACGAUAAUGACGGUACCUGGAGAAUAAGCCCCGGCAAACUUCGUGCCAGCAGCCGCCGUAAUAC
rnacentral:rRNA from 1 species